rnacentral:rRNA from 1 species
CAGCAAUGGAUCUUAGUGGCGAACGGGUGAGUAACGCGUAGGCAAUCUGCCUUCUAGAUGGGGACAACAUCCCGAAAGGGGUGCUAAUACCGAAUGUUGUAGUUGGUUCGCAUGGACUAGCUACUAAAGGUGGCCUCUGAAUAUGCUACCGCUAGAAGAUGAGCCUGCGUCUGAUUAGCUAGUUGGAGGGGUAACGGCCCACCAAGGCUUCGAUCAGUAGCCGGUCUGAGAGGAUGAACGGCCACACUGGGACUGAGACACGGCCCAGACUCCUACGGGAGGCAGCAGUGGGGAAUCUUCCGCAAUGGACGAAAGUCUGACGGAGCAACGCCGCGUGAGUGAAGAAGGUUUUCGGAUCGUAAAGCUCUUUCGUUAGGGACGAACGUGCUCUUUGUGAAUAAUGAGGAGUAAUGACGGUACCUAAAUAAGAAGCCACGGCUAACUACGUGCCAGCAGCCGCGGUAAUACGUAGGUGGCAAGCGUUGUCCGGAAUUAUUGGGCGUAAAGCGCGCGCAGGC